rnacentral:tRNA from 1 species
GUUUUAAUAGCUCAGUUGGUAGAGCGCGAGGCUGAAAACUUCGAGGUCGCUGGUUCGACCCCAGCUUAAAACA